rfam:Anolis carolinensis chromosome 1, whole genome shotgun sequence.
CCAAAGGUCUUUAUCAAGACCAUUGCUAACGAUUAUUAGAAAGUUG